rnacentral:lncRNA from 1 species
UUAUGUUCAAGUUCUUCAGGUAUAGCAAUUUCUUCAAUGAUGAUCCUUCCAACUUUGUACUUGACAUAUCCCACAGCUUGACAUUCGCCAUUGUCAGCAAAAUUAACUGAAAGGCCAGUUGCCUCUCUUAUCUCUGUCAGCAUGGAUCUCAUGCCAGUCAUGUGCAUUGACGCUCCACUGUCAAGCACCCAAACAAAUUGUACAAUUCCGCUAGCACCCUGCAAAAGAUAACUUGAUUAAACAUGCUUUGGGACCCACACUUUAUUGGGUCCAGCAAACUUAAAGAAUUAAUUUCUAUCUGGUAAGACAACGGAGCCUUUUGAAAUGAUAUUUGAUUCCAACUUGACUGAACUUAUUUCUUUAACGA